rnacentral:pre_miRNA from 1 species
AUAUGAAUCACCUGGGGAACCUUACUAAAAUGAAGAUUCUGAUUCAGUAGAUCUGGGAUGAAGGCUGAAAUUCUUCAUUUCUAACAAGCUCCCAGGUGCUGCCAGU